rnacentral:rRNA from 1 species
UACGUAGGGGGCAAGCGUUGUCCGGAAUCACUGGGCUUAAAGGGCGCGUAGGCGGGCUGUCAAGUCUGGGGUGAAAUCCCACGGCUCAACCGUGGAACUGCCUUAGAUACUGACGGCCUCGAGGGAGAUAGGGGCGAGCGGAACUGUGAGUGGAGCGGUGAAAUGCGUUGAUAUUCACAGGAACUCCGGUGGCGAAGGCGGCUCGCUGGAUCUUUCUGACGCUGAGGCGCGAAAGCUAGGGGAGCAAACGGG